rnacentral:rRNA from 1 species
UACGAAGGGGGCUAGCGUUGUUCGGAAUUACUGGGCGUAAAGCGCGCGCAGGCGGUCCUUCAAGUCAGAGGUGAAAGCCCAGAGCUCAACUCUGGAAUGGCCUUUGAGACUAGAGGACUUGGGUACGGGAGAGGUGAGUGGAAUUCCGAGUGUAGAGGUGAAAUUCGUAGAUAUUCGGAAGAACACCAGUGGCGAAGGCGACUUACUGGACACAUAUUGACGCUGAGGUGCGAAAGCGUGGGGAGCAAACAGG